CUGAGUCAAGGAGUCGCCAUGAUUCUCCCACUCCAGACAGACGCAGGUUAAGAUCCUCCCUGCCUUUCUUCGCAGGGCCCUCAGCGAUUCUCACCUCUCAAAUGGGCGACUGGCUCAAAGAGAAGGUUGUACACUAAGUCUCUGUACUAAACCAGCACACCUGUGACUGUGAUCUCCGGCCUAUGAACUGGACCUCAGUUUCAAUCCCCUUGCACCAAGAUCUUCCUUCUGCCUCCAAGUGUGGGCAAACAGAAAACCAUGCUCUCUAUUGGGGCUCCCGAAGGGAUGUGUGUUGCCUACAGAUAGUAUCAUAGUAGCACCCGCCACAAGGUAACUGGGGGUCCAGGGGCUCAGGAUUUUUGCAAGGUGAGUUGGACCAGCAGGUGAUGGGAACUUGGGAAGACUGUAAACAGGGCGGCAUGAAUGUGAAGCAUAUGGUGUUGAAGGUCUGCUAAGGGUCUGGACUACACGUGUAGGGGAAACCAGGGUAACGAGGCACAAUACUAACGAUCCCAAAGAGUGCAAGCGAGGCAAGGAGAUCUGUGUGGCCUUGCUGUCUCGCUGUUUGUAGGAGAUCACUGACUGACAGAGCCGCCCUAGGGUUGCUUCGUUCUCUAUGGCUCGACAGAGUUCCCCUUUGGUCUUAUGAUUCAUAUAACCUUGAUAAAGCAACGGUUAAGUGAACGGGCCUGAUGGGAGUAAAUAAAACUUUAUUAACAAAAACAAGAGCUUGGUGCCAGUCCCUAUACUGUGGGAAUGUGCUUUUUUCCUGAUGCGUUGUUUCCUAUUGAUUAAGUCCACACUCAGUGAAGUUACUGUCGAUGAGUGUCUGAUGGAGAUGCAAAUGCUUUUGUCUGCUAGAAAAACAAAACUCCAAGUGUUGUGGUCUUAGCUGUCCCGAAGGUUAUUAGCCAGUUCUGUAUCUAGCAAGAAAUCUUCCCCAGCUUUCUUACUACAGCGCUUAGGUGACACAAAGAGCUCUUUAGAUGCCCUCCGCGCCAGCUCUGCCAUCUGGCUGGUCCCUUCUUUAAUGAGUUAAAUAAAUCCUUAACACGUGACCACGUUUUAUUUGUCUGACUGUCAUUUCACCUACCUGUCUGGAAAUCACACUGGAAGCUGAUGACCAGGGAGAAGAGAUGGAGAGAUGAGGAUGUGAACUGAAGGGUGGCAGUGUCCAGGAGGGAGAAGAGAGCAGAGCAUGGUGCCAUGGAGACCAGGAAGUGACGUCACUCUUCACGAAGCACCGAUACCGCCAUAGACAAUCCCCUAUAUCCGAGAAAGUUCUACAGUUCUUUCAAUAAUCUGCCUUGUGGCGAAGGCUCUCUCAGGCAGGCACGAGCCCCCCCCCCCCCUCUGUCUAGAAGUCCUCAGACGCGACUUCGCUAGAGCAGUCACUGUUUUGUGUCAUGGUAGGCUCUCAGCAUCUAUUUGUUAGACGGAUAA